AUAAAAAAAGUCUUUAAAAACUUUUUUUUUCUUUAGAUGGCAAAAGCACUGAUGGAAGCCUUCCCUCUGAUGCCAGAUGUAGAUUUUGACACAACAAAAAAGGCAAUGAAAAGUGAAAGAAGAACUCUCGCUCUUCAAAUCCUUGAUGCAUCAGUAUUUGAUGACCACUGUUGGUGUGCGAUGUGCGCUGCAUACAAAGCCCCGGGGUCUGGCCCUGGAAUGACAGACUGGAUCCAGUGUGACAACUGUGACCGAUGGUACCAUGCCCUGUGCAUAAAUAUGAAGAGCACAGAAUUUCAAAAGAAAAAAACAGGCAGUUGGAAAUGUGUAUUGUGUAGUUAAUCUGAAAACUAGAAACUGUGUUCAUUAUUGUUCGAAAUACGUUUUGAAAAUAUCUGUGGAAAAUGAAAAUGUAAUAUGUUUGUGUGGCAUUGAUGCUAUGUGUGAUGUAUAAAGUGUACUGGAAUCAUU